rnacentral:rRNA from 1 species
GAUGAACGCUGGCGGCGUGCUUAACACAUGCAAGUCGAACGAAGCGAUUGGAAGGAAGUUUUCGGAUGGAAUUCUGAUUGACUGAGUGGCGGACGGGUGAGUAACGCGUGGGUAACCUGCCUCAUACAGGGGGAUAACAGUUAGAAAUGACUGCUAAUACCGCAUAAGCGCACAGGAUUGCAUGAUCCGGUGUGAAAAACUCCGGUGGUAUGAGAUGGACCCGCGUCUGAUUAGCUGGUUGGUGGGGUAACGGCCCACCAAGGCGACGAUCAGUAGCCGACCUGAGAGGGUGACCGGCCACAUUGGGACUGAGACACGGCCCAAACUCCUACGGGAGGCAGCAGUGGGGAAUAUUGCACAAUGGGGGAAACCCUGAUGCAGCAACGCCGCGUGAGUGAAGAAGUAUUUCGGUAUGUAAAGCUCUAUCAGCAGGGAAGAAAAUGACGGUACCUGAGUAAGAAGCCCCGGCUAACUACGUGCCAGCAGCCGCGGUAAUACGUAGGGGGCAAGC